rnacentral:rRNA from 1 species
UGGGGAAUAUUGCACAAUGGGCGCAAGCCUGAUGCAGCAACGCCGCGUGAGGGACGACGGCCUUCGGGUUGUAAACCUCUUUUAGUAGGGAAGAAGCGAAAGUGACGGUACCUGCAGAAAAAGCACCGGCUAACCACGUGCCAGCAGCCGCGGUAAUACGUAGGGUGCAAGCGUUGUCCGGAAUUAUUGGGCGUAAAGAGCUCGUAGGCGGUUUGUCGCGUCUGCUGUGAAAACCCGAGGCUCAACCUCGGGCCUGCAGUGGGUACGGGCAGACUAGAGUGCGGUAGGGGAGAAUGGAAUUCCUGGUGUAGCGGUGGAAUGCGCAGAUAUCAGGAGGAACACCGAUGGCGAAGGCAGUUCUCUGGGCCGUAACUGACGCUGAGGAGCGAAAGCGUGGGGAGCGAACAGGAUUAGAUACCCUGGUAGUCCACGCCGUAAACGUUGGGCGCUAGAUGUGGGGACCAUUCCACGGUUUCCGUGUCGCAGCUAACGCAUUAAGCGCCCGCCUGGGGAGUACGGCCGCAAGGCU